AUUGAACGCUGGCGGCAUGCCUUACACAUGCAAGUCGAACGGUAACGCGGGGCAACCUGGCGACGAGUGGCGAACGGGGGAGUAAUAUAUCGGAACGUGCCCAGUAGUGGGGGAUAGCCCGGCGAAAGCCGGAUUAAUACCGCAUACGACCUACGGGUGAAAGGGGGGGAUCGCAAGACCUCUCGCUAUUGGAGCGGCCGAUAUCAGAUUAGGUAGUUGGUGGGGUAAAAGCCCACCAAGCCAACGAUCUGUAGCUGGUCUGGGAGGACGACCAGCCACACUGGGACUGAGACACGGCCCAGACUCCUACGGGAGGCAGCAGUGGGGAAUUUUGGACAAUGGGCGAAAGCCUGAUCCAGCCAUGCCGCGUGCGGGAAGAAGGCCUUCGGGUUGUAAACCGCUUUUGUCAGGGAAGAAAUCCUUUGAGUUAAUACCUCGGGGGGAUGACGGUACCUGAAGAAUAAGCACCGGCUAACUACGUGCCAGCCGCCGCAGUAA
rnacentral:rRNA from 1 species